UGACAAGCAGCUCAAGCACUGAAGUGGGGAAACUCUCCCAGCUUCUCCCAAGGACCUGGGAAGACACACCGAAUUUGCUGCAAUAGAAAAGCUGUUGGCCAAAGUACAAGCCUGAAGAAAAUAACACACCUUGCCAGUGGACAAGGAGGAUGGUGGGAGUAAAGGCCUUAUGAAGAUUCAGCUGAAAGACUCUGGAUGCUAGAGGCUGAUACCAUGUGGCAGGAGCCAGGAGCCAGUGUAGCUGCGAGGAAAGGGACCCACAGAGACUGCGCCAGCUUAUCUCACCUGUGCAGAGGUAAUCAUGAAGGGGAAAAUAAUGAGAAGACAUUUAAGAAGCACAACAGGAGAGUGCAGGGAAUACCUCAGCUAAGAUUUUCAUCCUGAGAUUUGGCGUAUCUCUUUCCAGCCAUCACUACAAACAGGAGAGAGUGGGAACCAUGAAAACUGGUUUGCGAAAUAGUUGACUUUCUAAAGUAUUACAUAUUCAGUGGAUUUAACUUUAAACAAAGACCCACAAUAUUUUUACUUAUCUGGCUUCUGCUACUCAUAACUAAAAAUAAAGAAAUGCAUAAAGCAGCCA
rnacentral:lncRNA from 1 species